rnacentral:sRNA from 1 species
AGCGGGAAGAGCUCAAAUUUUGAAUCUGGCGGUCUUCAGGCUGUCCGAGUUGUAAUCUAGAGAAGCGUCUUCCGCGCUGGACCGUGUACAAGUCUCCUGGAAGGGAGCGUCAUAGAGGGUGAGAAUCCCGUCUUUGACACGGACUACCAGUGCUAUGUGAUGCGCUCUCGACGAGUCGAGUUGUUUGGGAAUGCAGCUCAAAAUGGGUGGUAAAUUCCAUCUAAAGCUAAAUACAGGCGAGAGACCGAUAGCGAACAAGUACCGUGAGGGAAAGAUGAAAAGAACUUUGGAAAGAGAGUUAAACAGUACGUGAAAUUGCUGAAAGGGAAACGCUUGAUGUCAGUCGCGUCGUCCGGGGAUCAACCUUGCUUCUCGCUGGGUGUACUUCCCGGUAGACGGGUCAGCAUCAGUUUCGGUCGUCGUACAAGGGCGAGGGGAACGUGGCACUCUUCGGAGUGUGUUAUAGCCUUUCGUCGUAUGCGGCGGGUUGGGACUGAGGAACUCAGCACGACUUCCGUCUGUGCUUAGGAUGCUGGCAUAAUGGCCUUAAGCGACCCGUCUU